rnacentral:rRNA from 1 species
UGGGGAAUUUUGGACAAUGGGCGAAAGCCUGAUCCAGCAAUGCCGCGUGUGUGAAGAAGGCCUUCGGGUUGUAAAGCACUUUUGUCCGGAAAGAAAUCCUUGGCUCUAAUACAGUCGGGGGAUGACGGUACCGGAAGAAUAAGCACCGGCUAACUACGUGCCAGCAGCCGCGGUAAUACGUAGGGUGCAAGCGUUAAUCGGAAUUACUGGGCGUAAAGCGUGCGCAGGCGGUUUGCUAAGACCGAUGUGAAAUCCCCGGGCUCAACCUGGGAACUGCAUUGGUGACUGGCAGGCUAGAGUAUGGCAGAGGGGGGUAGAAUUCCACGUGUAGCAGUGAAAUGCGUAGAGAUGUGGAGGAAUACCGAUGGCGAAGGCAGCCCCCUGGGCCAAUACUGACGCUCAUGCACGAAAGCGUGGGGGAGCAAACAGGAUUAGAUACCCUGGUAGUCCACGCCCUAAACGAUGUCAACUAGUUGUUGGGGAUUCAUUUCCUUAGUAACGUAGCUAACGCGUGAAGUUGACCGCCUGGGGAGUACGGUCGCAAGAUUAAAACUCAAAUGAAUUGACGGGGUCAUAG